UAGGGAAUCUUCGGCAAUGGACGAAAGUCUGACCGAGCAACGCCGCGUGAGUGAAGAAGGUUUUCGGAUCGUAAAACUCUGUUGUUAGAGAAGAACAAGGACGUUAGUAACUGAACGUCCCCUGACGGUAUCUAACCAGAAAGCCACGGCUAACUACGUGCCAGCAGCCACGGUAAUACGUAGGUGGCAAGCGUUGUCCGGAUUUAUUGGGCGUAAAGCGAGCGCAGGCGGUUUCUUAAGUCUGAUGUGAAAGCCCCCGGCUCAACCGGGGAGGGUCAUUGGAAACUGGGAGACUUGAGUGCAGAAGAGGAGAGUGGAAUUCCAUGUGUAGCGGUGAAAUGCGUAGAUAUAUGGGGGAACACCAGUGGCGAAGGCGGCUCUCUGGUCUGUAACUGACGCUGAGGCUCGAAAGCGUGGGGAGCAAACAGG
rnacentral:rRNA from 1 species